GAGGAAGGUGGGGAUGACGUCAAAUCAUCAUGCCCCUUAUGAGCAGGGCUACACACGUGCUACAAUGGCGUAAACAAAGGGAAGCGAACCCGCGAGGGUGGGCAAAUCCCAAAAAUAACGUCUCAGUUCGGAUUGUAGUCUGCAACUCGACUACAUGAAGCUGGAAUCGCUAGUAAUCGCGAAUCAGAAUGUCGCGGUGAAUACGUUCCCGGGUCUUGUACACACCGCCCGUCACACCAUGGGAGUCAGUAACGCCCGAAGUCAGUGACCCAACCGUAAGGAGGGAGCUGCCGAAGGUGGGACCGAUAACUGGGGUGAAGUCGUAAC
rnacentral:rRNA from 2 species